AGGCUUUUGGUUUUCUAAACUCCCACCCAUGUGAACUUACCUUUUGUUGCCUCGGCAGAAGUUAUAGGUCUUCUUAUAGCUGCUGCCGGUGGACCAUUAAACUCUUGUUAUUUUAUGUAAUCUGAGCGUCUUAUUUUAAUAAGUCAAAACUUUCAACAACGGAUCUCUUGGUUCUGGCAUCGAUGAAGAACGCAGCGAAAUGCGAUAAGUAAUGUGAAUUGCAGAAUUCAGUGAAUCAUCGAAUCUUUGAACGCACAUUGCGCCCAUUAGUAUUCUAGUGGGCAUGCCUGUUCGAGCGUCAUUUCAACCCUUAAGCCUAGCUUAGUGUUGGGAAUCUACUUCUCUUAGGAGUUGUAGUUCCUGAAAUACAACGGCGGAUUUGUAGUAUCCUCUGAGCGUAGUAAUUUUUUUCUCGCUUUUGUUAGGUGCUAUAACUCCCAGCCGCUAAACCCCCAAUUUUUUGUGGUUGACCUCGGAUCAGGUAGGAAUACCCGCUGAACUUAAGCAUAUCAAUAAGCGGAGGAA
rnacentral:rRNA from 1 species